rnacentral:rRNA from 1 species
UUGCUUCUCUUGAGAGCGGCGGACGGGUGAGUAAUGCCUAGGAAUCUGCCUGGUAGUGGGGGAUAACGUCCGGAAACGGACGCUAAUACCGCAUACGUCCUACGGGAGAAAGCAGGGGACCUUCGGGCCUUGCGCUAUCAGAUGAGCCUAGGUCGGAUUAGCUAGUUGGUGGGGUAAUGGCUCACCAAGGCGACGAUCCGUAACUGGUCUGAGAGGAUGAUCAGUCACACUGGAACUGAGACACGGUCCAGACUCCUACGGGAGGCAGCAGUGGGGAAUAUUGGACAAUGGGCGAAAGCCUGAUCCAGCCAUGCCGCGUGUGUGAAGAAGGUCUUCGGAUUGUAAAGCACUUUAAGUUGGGAGGAAGGGCAGUAAAUUAAUACUUUGCUGUUUUGACGUUACCGACAGAAUAAGCACCGGCUAACUCUGUGCCAGCAGCCGCGGUAAUACAGAGGGUGCAAGCGUUAAUCGGAAUUACUGGGCGUAAAGCGCGCGUAGGUGGUUCGUUAAGUUGGAUGUGAAAUCCCCGGGCUCAACCUGGGAACUGCAUUCAAAACUGACGAGCUAGAGUAUGGUAGAGGGUGGUGGAAUUUCCUGUGUAGCGGUGAAAUGCGUAGAUAUAGGAAGGAACACCAGUGGCGAAAGCGACCACCUGGACUGAUACUGACACUGAGUGCGAAAGCGUGGGGAGCAAAC